rnacentral:lncRNA from 1 species
ACCAUUUUCUUCAAUGACAUAACCACAGGACUUCCCUCCCAUGAUCAGGCAAAACCAUUAAUUAGAUUCAGUAGUCAGACACAAAAAGAAGAGAUAAAUGUAAGGGAAAUACUGGCUGCAAAGGGUUCCAGUGGGAAAGAAAGGAGAAAGCAGGAAAUGGUUCUGGAGAGGAAAAGUAUAACAGCGCAAACCUUGGUGGAGGCCUGAAUCUUCUAGGAUUGCUUCUUUCUGCAUCAGGUACUGCUGACAGUUUGUGGCUUGAAGAGAAUCACAGGUUCUGCUUUGUUUACAAAUCUC